rnacentral:rRNA from 1 species
AACGCGAAGAACCUUACCUAGACUUGACAUCCUCUGAAUUACCUGUAAUGAGGGAAGCCCUUCGGGGCAGAGAGACAGGUGGUGCAUGGUUGUCGUCAGCUCGUGUCGUGAGAUGUUGGGUUAAGUCCCGCAACGAGCGCAACCCACGUCUUUAGUUGCCAGCAUUCAGUUGGGCACUCUAGAGAGACCGCCGGUGAUAAACCGGAGGAAGGUGUGGAUGACGUCAAGUCAUCAUGCCCCUUACAUCCUGGGCUACACACGUACUACAAUGCUACGGACAAAGGGCAGCAAGCUCGCGAGAGUUAGCUAAUCCCAUAAACCGUGGCUCAGUUCAGAUCGUAGGCUGCAACUCGCCUACGUGAAGGAGGAAUCGCUAGUAAUCGCAGGUCAGCAUACUGCGGUGAAUACGUUCCCGGGUCUUGUACACACCG